rnacentral:lncRNA from 1 species
CAAUGAAGGUGGCACUCAAAAAGAACUUAGGAAAGGCUCUAGAUUGGAUUUAAAAAGCAAGAAACACAUACAAGUCGCAGACACAACAAGUUCGAGCUCAAUUUCGAAAUGGUCCAAUCUGUUUGAGAAAAUGUCUAAAAGAACUCUGUGACUGAUGCACCAAAAUUUGGAAAACUGAUUGGCAUUGGUUCUCGGCUUUUCAAAUUAAUGCUAUUGUGGAACUUUGCAUUGUGUAUUUCUUUUAAUUCAACUGAACCAUGCUUUUACUACCAAUCUAACACGAAAAUGGAAGCAUCAAUCAAAAUAUAUAUGACAUUUCAAACAGUUGCAACUUAUAUCAGAAAAAAGUGCCUAAAACUUGGUGGUUUGAAUGGUCAAAAUACACAAAAGUGUUUAGAAAGCCAAUUUCAUGUUUCAAGCAACUUUGCUUUAUGAUUUGUGACUUAUACAAGCUGCCAAAAGAGGCGGAAUGCUCUUUAAUCAGAAUUUGGCUAGUCUAGUUGCCUUUUCACACUAAAUUGUGACCAAAUCAACAACCAAAUUUUAGAAAAGGAGUCAAAUGUGUUUGGAUCAUUAAUAUGACACUUUGAGCAAAUUUAAUUUGCCAAAUAUAACAGAUACAAAUGGCCAACAGAAGCUACAAACUGCCAGAUCAAAAUUUCACCAUAUGAGUUGCUCAUCUUAUUCAAAACUGAUCCAUACACUAACCAAAAUUUCAGCAGAAUAUUCAAACUGUUAUGAAACACUUUUUGGUGAUUUAAAACAUCAAAUUACACUUGAACAAGACUCUAUAGAAGCAUUAAGAUGUCCAGAACUGAUUUACUACUACUGAACAGAUUGAAAACUAAAAAUAGACUCAAACAAAUCAGAUGCAGUCUCGGCCAAACUGCAUAUGCAAAGGAAUUCUGAUUUCUACAGUGUGAAUCACUUCAUUUGUCUUAAACAAAUCGCUGUUAAUUUGGUAUGUUUACACACUGUUGCAGCACAUUCACACAUCUAGAAACAGAUAUCUUAUACGGUGCAGUUUCAGAAAAUGAUUGAAAACCAUAUUUGAAACAGAUUGAAACACUGCAUCAAUUGGCACUACACUUUGAUGGAAAUCAAAGUGCACUUGAGCUCUUUAAUCAUUGCUCUUGUGAAGUACAUCUGUUGAAUGACCAUUCAGAAUGUACAUAUUUCUCCAAUCACAGAUUUAACACAGAAUUUUGACAAAAUUAAGCAAAACACAUGACUGGACAUGACAGAACUGGAUUUGAAAAUUAAAAGACUCAAAAUCAAUAGAUUUAGCCGAUUAAAAUGAAAAUGAACAAAGCAAGUAAAGCUGGAAUGAAGAAAAUAACACAACAGAAUAAUUGGAAUGUUGAGAAAUCAAUGAAACAGUGAAACAGAGAAGCAAAGACAGUGCAGGAAAUUUAAUGACAGUGUGGAGUUAAGAAAAUAGACUUAGUUGGAGCAUCAAUCAGCCAACCAUGGCUCUGAAUACCACAUGAUAAGGUUCGCUCCAGAUCUGCACGGAAUCAGCCAGGCGAGAUGAAGCUGAGACAAUGGAACAGUAGUCCUGAUGUGGAAAUCAGUGUGAUGCAGUGACGGUGAAAAGUUGAAUCGAUGGUGGAGUGAAGAGCUUGAUGCAGCGGAAGCUAGCUCAGAAGGUCUUCUAGAAGAAGAAAGCUANGUGGAGGAGAGGAAGAAGCUCGGUGUGUGACUUUGGACAGAGUUCCCGCUGGACAAAGAUCAACAGCAGAAGAAAUGAUAUCUCAUAUAUCUCCAAAGUGUCAAUUACAUGUGCUACCAAGUGAUUUAUAGUAAGCCUAUGAUCUACGUGUGG